rnacentral:rRNA from 1 species
AGCGAACGCUGGCGGCAGGCCUAACACAUGCAAGUCGAACGAACCUUUCGGGGUUAGUGGCGGACGGGUGAGUAACACGUGGGAACGUGCCUUUAAGUUCGGAAUAACUCAGGGAAACUUGUGCUAAUACCGAAUGUGCCCUUCGGGGGAAAGAUUUAUCGCCUUUAGAGCGGCCCGCGUCUGAUUAGCUAGUUGGUUGAGGUAAUGGCUCACCAAGGCGACGAUCAGUAGCUGGUCUGAGAGGAUGAUCAGCCACAUUGGGACUGAGACACGGCCCAAACUCCACCGGGAGGCAGCAGGGGGGAAUCUUGCGCAAUGGGCGAAAGCCUGACGCAGCCAGGCCGCGUGAAUGAUGAGGUCUUAGGAUUGUAAAAUUCUUUCACCGGGGACGAUAAUGACGGUACCCGGAGAAGAAGCCCCGGCUAACUUCGUG